UACGUAGGGGGCAAGCGUUGUCCGGAAUCAUUGGGCGUAAAGAGCGCGUAGGCGGCCAGAUUAGUCCGGUGUGAAAGUCAAAGGCUCAACCUUUGAAUGCCGCUGGAAACUGUCGGGCUAGAGUGCGGAAGAGGCGAGUGGAAUUCCUGGUGUAGCGGUGAAAUGCGCAGAUAUCAGGAGGAACACCAAUUGCGAAGGCAGCUCGCUGGGACGUUACUGACGCUGAGACGCGAAAGCGUGGGGAGCAAACAGG
rnacentral:rRNA from 1 species